rnacentral:rRNA from 1 species
UACGUAGGGGGCAAGCGUUAUCCGGAUUUACUGGGUGUAAAGGGAGCGUAGACGGUAAUGUAAGUCUGAUGUGAAAGCCCGGGGCUCAACCCCGGGACUGCAUUGGGAACUAUGUAACUAGAGUACCGGAGAGGUAAGCGGAAUUCCUAGUGUAGCGGUGAAAUGCGUAGAUAUUAGGAGGAACACCAGUGGCGAAGGCGGCUUACUGGACGGAAACUGACGUUGAGGCUCGAAAGCGUGGGGAGCAAACAGG